rnacentral:rRNA from 1 species
ACUUAAAUUGAAGAGUUUGAUCAUGGCUCAGAUUGAACGCUGGCGGCAGGCCUAACACAUGCAAGUCGAGCGGUAGCACAGGAGAGCUUGCUCUUUGGGUGACGAGCGGCGGACGGGUGAGUAAUGUCUGGGAAACUGCCUGAUGGAGGGGGAUAACUACUGGAAACGGUAGCUAAUACCGCAUAACGUCGCAAGACCAAAGUGGGGGACCUUCGGGCCUCA